rnacentral:rRNA from 1 species
GACGAACGCUGGCGGCGUGCUUAACACAUGCAAGUCGAACGGUGAAGGGGAGCUUGCUCCCUGGAUCAGUGGCGAACGGGUGAGUAACACGUGGGCAACCUGCCCCAGACUCUGGGAUAACUCUUCGAAAGAGGGGCUAAUACCGGAUAUUUGGCUUGGAAGACAUCUUCUGAGUCAGAAAGAAUUUCGGUCUGGGAUGGGCCCGCGGCCUAUCAGCUUGUUGGUGAGGUAAUGGCUCACCAAGGCAACGACGGGUAGCCGGCCUGAGAGGGCGACCGGCCACACUGGGACUGAGACACGGCCCAGACUCCUACGGGAGGCAGCAGUGGGAAUAUUGGUCAAUGGGCGAAAGCCUGAACCAGCAACGCCGCGUGAGGGAUGAAGGUCUUCGGAUUGUAAACCUCUUUCAGCAGGGACGAAGCGCAAGUGACGGUACCUGCAGAAGAAGCACCGGCUAACUACGUGCCAGCCGCCGCCGUAACAC